rnacentral:rRNA from 1 species
AUUGAACGCUGGCGCCAGGCCUAACACAUGCAAGUCGAGCGGAUGAAGGGAGCUUGCUCCUGGAUUCAGCGGCGGACGGGUGAGUAAUGCCUAGGAAUCUGCCUGGUAGUGGGGGAUAACGUCCGGAAACGGGCGCUAAUACCGCAUACGUCCUGAGGGAGAAAGUGGGGGAUCUUCGGACCUCACGCUAUCAGAUGAGCCUAGGUCGGAUUAGCUAGUUGGUGGGGUAAAGGCCUACCAAGGCGACGAUCCGUAACUGGUCUGAGAGGAUGAUCAGUCACACUGGAACUGAGACACGGUCCAGACUCCUACGGGAGGCAGCAGUGGGGAAUAUUGGACAAUGGUCGAAAGCCUGAUCCAGCCAUGCCGCGUGUGUGAAGAAGGUCUUCGGAUUGUAAAGCACUUUAAGUUGGGAGGAAGGGCAGUAAGUUAAUACCUUGCUGUUUUGACGUUACCAACAGAAUAAGCACCGGCUAACUUCGUG